rnacentral:rRNA from 1 species
AGUGAACGCUGGCGGUAGGCCUAACACAUGCAAGUCGAACGGCAGCACAGUAAGAGCUUGCUCUUACGGGUGGCGAGUGGCGGACGGGUGAGGAAUACAUAGGCAUCUACUUUUUCGUGGGGGAUAACGUAGGGAAACUUACGCUAAUACCGCAUACGACCUACGGGUGAAAGCAGGGGAUAUUCGGACCUUGCGCGAUUGAAUGAGCCGAUGUCGGAUUAGCUAGUUGGCGGGGUAAAGGCCCACCAAGGCGACGAUCCGUAGCUGGUCUGAGAGGAUGAUCAGCCACACUGGAACUGAGACACGGUCCAGACUCCUACGGGAGGCAGCAGUGGGGAAUAUUGGACAAUGGGCGCAAGCCUGAUCCAGCCAUACCGCGUGAGUGAAGAAGGCCUUCGGGUUGUAAAGCCCUUUUGUUGGGAAAGAAAAGCAGCAGGUUAAUACCCCGCUGUUCUGACGGUACCCAAAGAAUAAGCACCGGCUAACUUCGUG